UUCGCAAUGCCCGAAAGGGUGACGAAGCGACGCCGCGUGGGUGAGGAAGGCCUUCGGGUUGUAAAACCCUGUCAGGAGUUAAGAAAUGUAAGUGCGUUAAUACCGCACUUAUUUGACAAAGGCUCCAAAGGAAGCCACGGCUAACUCUGUGCCAGCAGCCGCGGUAAUACAGAGGUGGCGAGCGUUGUUCGGAAUUAUUGGGCGUAAAGAGCACGUAGGUGGGUUUGCAAGUCAGAUGUGAAAGCCUUCUGUUCAACGGAAGAAUUGCAUCUGAAACUGCUAAUCUUGAGUAUAGGAGGGGAGAAUGGAACUUCUGGUGGAGCGGUGAAAUGCGUAGAUAUCAGAAGGAACGUCGGCGGCGAAAGCGAUUCUCUGGCCUAUUACUGACACUCAGUGUGCGAAAGCUAGGGGAGCAAACGGGAUUAGAUACCCCGGUAGUCCUAGCCGUAAACGAUGGGCACUAAGUAGAGGGGUUUU
rnacentral:rRNA from 1 species